UACAGAGGUGGCGAGCGUUGUUCGGAUUUACUGGGCGUAAAGGGCGCGUAGGCGGCGAUGUGUGUCGGGUGUGAAAUCCCAGGGCCCAACCCUGGAAGUGCGCCCGAAACUGCAUCGCUUGAGUGCGGGAGGGGAGAUCGGAAUACAUGGUGUAGCGGUGAAAUGCGUUGAUAUCAUGUAGAACACCGGUGGCGAAGGCGGAUCUCUGGAACGCAACUGACGCUGAGGCGCGAAAGUCGGGGGAGCAAACAGG
rnacentral:rRNA from 1 species